rnacentral:rRNA from 1 species
CCUACGGGAGGCUGCAGUGAGGAAUAUUGGUCAAUGGGCGCGAGCCUGAACCAGCCAAGUCGCGUGAGGGAGGACGGCCCUACGGGUUGUAAACCUCUUUUGCCGGGGAGCAACGGGCGUCACGUGUGGCGCCACUGAGAGUACCCGGAGAAAAAGCAUCGGCUAACUCCGUGCCAGCAGCCGCGGUAAUACGGGGGAUGCGAGCGUUAGCCGGAUUUAUUGGGUUUAAAGGGUGCGUAGGCGGAACGUUAAGUCAGUGGUAAAAUUGAGGGGCUCAACCCCGGCGAGCCGUUGAAACUGGCUGUCUUGAGAGGACGAGAGGUAUGCGGAAUGCGCAGUGUAGCGGUGAAAUGCUUAGAUAUUGCGCAGAACUCCGAUUGCGAAGGCAGCAUACCGGCGGCGAUCUGACGCUGAGGCACGAAAGCGUGGGUAUCGAACAGGAUUAGAUACCCUUGUAGUC